UGGUUUCGGAGCGCAGCACAAGUCGCGCUCUUUUCCAGCCAAGGUCAGCGUCCACCAAGCCACAUUUUCAACUUUUGACCUCGGAUCAGGUAGGGAUACCCGCUGAACUUAAGCAUAUCAUAGCCGCGAAGGACAAA
rnacentral:rRNA from 1 species